CCUACGGGUGGCAGCAGUGAGGAAUAUUGGUCAAUGGCCGGAAGGCUGAACCAGCCAAGCCGCGUGAAGGACGAAGGUGCUCAGCAUUGUAAACUUCUUUUGUCAAGGGACAAAAUCAGGCAAGAGAGCCUUUCCUAGGGUACUUGAAGAAUAAGCAUCGGCUAACUCCGUGCCAGCAGCCGCGGUAAUACGGAGGAUGCGAGCGUUAUCCGGAUUUAUUGGGUUUAAAGGGUGCGCAGGCGGGCGGUUAAGUCAGCGGUAAAAGUCCGGGGCUCAACCACGGCGAGCCGUUGAAACUGGCUUUCUUGAGUGGACGAGAGGUAUGCGGAAUGCGCGGUGUAGCGGUGAAAUGCUUAGAUAUUGCGCAGAACUCCGAUUGCGAAGGCAGCAUACCGGCGGGGAACUGACGCUGAGGCACGAAAGCGUGGGUAUCGAACAGGAUUAGAUACCCUAGUAGUC
rnacentral:rRNA from 1 species